AAUACAAAAGUAAAAAUUUGGAAAUAUUUAUAAAAUUUUGAAAAUAUUUUAUGGAUGAGUAUACUUGCCUAUUCAUAAAUUUACAAGAACAAUGCUAUGUGUUUAGCUAGUACACUGUUGCUUUCAUUUGUUUUUAAUUAAGUCAAGGUUGAAAUUCUUGUUCAUAUUAAUAGGUUGUUGUGAAUGGUGGUUUGUUCUUUUUAUUUUGCAGAAGAAAUUUCCUUUUUAGUGUUAAUUCAAAAUAACUCUAUUUGGGCAUCAAACUUAAUGCAAUGAUUGAUUAAAGCUUUAAAAAAUAAUUUAAUCCUUUAUAUGUUUUUAUUUAAUGUUUCAAAUUUCUUUCUGGAAAUUAGUAAUGAAAUGUUUUCAGCCAAGAAGUGAGAAGUUGCAGUGUCUCUCAUUUAUUUCAAAACUGUUUUCAUUAACAAUGUUUUCUUUCAAUAAGAUACAUAAUCUUGGGAAUAUAUAGAAACCAAGAUGUUUACUUUCAAUUCAUAUUUGCCAGAACAGGAAUGACUUUUGUAAUCUUUCCAUGUUUCUGAUGUAUUAAAAUAAAAAAUAUAUAUCAUUAUUUGUUCUCUUUAGUUUUACAAUUAUUUCUUUAAGGAUGUUGUAAACACUCAAUUAAAUAUGCCAAUUUCAUCACCCAGUUUGUCAACAAUAGUUACCAGAUCAGAUUUUCAUUCACCUGAAAAAAAAGUGUAUCUUAUCCUGCACUUAUACCAUCCCCUCUGCUUUGUAUUUUCUUUCUCAACAACCAGUGCACUUCAGUAUUGUGCUUUAAAAGGUUAUGGUUAGUUCCAGUAUCUGAACAAAAUAUUUCAGAAAGUCAGCUACUCAGCAAGCUUCCUUUCAUAAAGUUCACAGUUUUUAUUAUACUUUACCCAUGAGAUAUGGUGGAAUUUAUUUGCUAAAGCUUCAUUAUGUAAAACAGUGAUUCCAAACAAUUUUUUUUUAGUAGUAUCAUAAGUUUUAAGAGACGUCCUUGAGUGGUACAAAUAGUUAAUGUGGUCAGCUACUAACUGAAGGUUAGAGGUUCAGGUCACCCAGAGGUGCCUUGGAAGAAAGGCCUGACGAUCUACUUCUGAAAAAUCAACCUGGAAAACCCCACGGAGCACAGUUUUCUGUGACACAUGGUGUCACCAUGAGUCGGUAUCGACUUGAUGGUAACUGCUUUUUUUUUUUUAAAGAAUAAUUCAGCUGUUGUUUUCCAGUUCUGUUUGCUGCUGUAUUAUACUUCUUUUAAAUUUUUAAAGUUUAUAUUGAUCAACAGUAUACUCUUCUAAUUCUAUAAGUAUAUUUAAACUAGUUAUAUGGAAGGUUAAAAUUUAUACAAUAGAGAAAUCUUACAUUAAAUGGUCUUUCCAUGUUAUCUGAAGUAAAAUAGUUGUGCAACUGUAAUAUUUAGAACUAUCAGGUUGGGUCAUGAAAUACGCUAGACUAAAAUUUAGUAAUAAGCACUGUUUCUUAAUAUUCUUCAGUAGUACAGAUUGUAUAUAAUAGUGUAUCAUCACCAAGAGAUAUAGCUUUUAAUUUUCAGCUCUUUUGUUAUUAAAAAUAUACAUUCUCUACCUGCACGUGCUAAAAGUGAAAAAAUGUUCAGUGAAUCUUUUUUUUUUUUGCCAAUUUUUUUGGCAAUUAAAUGAUGAUAACAAGACUAAUACUAAUAACUUUGUCUUUUUCUUUCUCCAAAAAUAUUUCAGGAAUGUUGGGCAUGCUGUGUUUCCAAGUGCCUUUCCUUUGGAAGAUUUUAAUCUUUGAUUUAAAAAAUAUCACUGCAAAUAAUACUUGGGGUUUAUCAUUUUUACUAGUUUUUGCACAUUUGUUUGAAGCUGAAUCACUUACUACCAUUUUCAUCAGUUGGAUUUGUGGUUUGACCACAGUAUGAGAAGAAGAAUUGAGAAAAAGCAAGGGCUAUAUAAGUAGUUGCUUUUGGGAAUAAUUGAUACGUUAUUUGGUUUCCGGAGAUGAUUUAAGCCGUUAAAUUUUUAUUGAUAGUUGCAGUGAGCAAGUGAUAGAAAUCUCCAACUCAAAAUGGCUUAAGCAAAUGGAAAUUUUUUGGGUUACAUAACUAAAAAGAUCAUGAUAUGGAUGAUUUCAGGUUUAAUCUCUUUAUAAUAUAAGAAGAGUAGAACAAAUGAUGGGAUGCUGGCAAGAUCUGAACGUGUUUGCUAAUAUGCUGUUAGUCUAAAUCAUUUACAUGGCUCUCUACACAGAAAUAGCAGAUUAAGUAGGAAGGAGAAUGAUUGAUCAUGACUGUUGACACUUUGACUGUAAGUCUCUGACCUCAUGUAAGAGAACUCUUGCUUACACUGUUUUAGUGACACUAAUUUUUGUUUUGUUUCUUGAACAGAUGUGUAUUCCUACCUUGGAACCUUUGCUCAUAUUGUUUCCACCUUCUGAAUGCUCUUCUUCUGUUUUUUUGUAAGAUAGGCUUCUUCUUAUCUUUUAGUUCU